rnacentral:rRNA from 1 species
CAGCAGCCGCGGUAAUACGUAGGUGGCAAGCGUUGUCCGGAAUUAUUGGGCGUAAAGCGCGCGCAGGCGGAUCAGUUAGUCUGUCUUAAAAGUUCGGGGCUUAACCCCGUGUGGGGAUGGAAACUGCUGAUCUAGAGUAUCGGAGAGGAAAGUGGAAUUCCUAGUGUAGCGGUGAAAUGCGUAGAUAUUAGGAAGAACACCAGUGGCGAAGGCGACUUUCUGGACGAAAACUGACGCUGAGGCGCGAAAGCCAGGGGAGCGAACGGGAUUAGAUACCCCCGUAGUCCCUGUCUCUUAUACA